rnacentral:rRNA from 1 species
UUCCGGUUGAUCCUGCCGGACCUGACUGCUAUCGGAUUGAUACUAAGCCAUGCGAGUCUUUGUAGUAAUACAAGGCAUACGGCUCAGUAACGCGUAGUCAACCUACCCUAUGGACAAGAAUAAUCUCGGGAAACUGAGCAUAAUUCUUGAUAGAUCAUAAUGCCUGGAAUGGUUUAUGGUUAAAAUGAUUCGUCGCCAUAGGAUGGGACUGCGGCCUAUCAGCUUGUUGGUGAGGUAAUGGCCCACCAAGGCGAUUACAGGUACGGGCUCUGAGAGGAGAAGCCCGGAGAUGGGUACUGAGACACGGACCCAGGCCCUAUGGGGCGCAGCAGGCGAGAAAACUUUGCAAUGUGCGAAAGCACGACAAGGUUAAUCCGAGUGAUUUCUGCUAAAGAAACCUUUUGCCAGUCAUAAAACCACUGGUGAAUAAGGGGUGGGCAAGUUCUGGUGUCAGCCGCCGCGGUAAAACCAGCACCUCAAGUGGUCAGGAUGAUUAUUGGGCCUAAAGCAUCCGUAGCCGGCUUUGUUAGUUUUCGGUUAAAUCCAUGUGCUCAACGCAUGGGCUGCCGAAAAUACUGCAUGGCUAGGGAGUGGGAGAGGUAGACGGUACUCAGUAGGAAGGGGUAAAAUCCUUUGAUCUAUUGAUGACCACCUGUGGCGAAGGCGGUCUACCAGAACACGUUCGACGGUGAGGGAUGAAAGCUGGGGGAGCAAACCGGAUUAGAUACCCGGGUAGUCCCAGCUGUAAACGAUGCAGACUCGAUGAUGCAUUGGCAUAAUAGCCAGUGCAGUGUCGCAGGGAAGCCGUUAAGUCUGCCGCCUGGGAAGUACGUACGCAAGUAUGAAACUUAAAGGAAUUGGCGGGGGAGCACCACAAGGGGUGAAGCCUGCGGUUCAAUUGGAUUCAACGCCGGG